UAGGGAAUCUUCCACAAUGGACGCAAGUCUGAUGGAGCAACGCCGUGUGAGUGAAGAAGGGUUUCGGCUCGUAAAGCUCUGUUGGUAGUGAAGAAAGAUAGAGGUAGUAACUGGCCUUUAUUUGACGGUAAUUACUUAGAAAGUCACGGCUAACUACGUGCCAGCAGCCGCGGUAAUACGUAGGUGGCAAGCGUUGUCCGGAUUUAUUGGGCGUAAAGCGAGUGCAGGCGGUUCAAUAAGUCUGAUGUGAAAGCCUUCGGCUCAACCGGAAAAUUGCAUCAGAAACUGUUGAACUUGAGUGCAGAAGAGGAGAGUGGAACUCCAUGUGUAGCGGUGGAAUGCGUAGAUAUAUGGAAGAACACCAGUGGCGAAGGCGGCUCUCUGGUCUGCAACUGACGCUGAGGCUCGAAAGCAUGGGUAGCGAACAGGAUUAGAUACCCUGGUAGUCCAUGCCGUAAACGAUGAGUGCUAAGUGUUGGGAGGUUUCCGCCUCUCAGUGCUGCAGCUAACGCAUUAAGCACUCCGCCUGGGGAGUACGACCGCAAGGUUG
rnacentral:rRNA from 1 species